UACGAAGGGGGCUAGCGUUGUUCGGAAUUACUGGGCGUAAAGCGCGCGCAGGCGGUUCUUCAAGUCAGAGGUGAAAGCCCAGAGCUCAACUCUGGAAUGGCCUUUGAGACUAGAGAACUUGGGUACGGGAGAGGUGAGUGGAAUUCCGAGUGUAGAGGUGAAAUUCGUAGAUAUUCGGAGGAACACCAGUGGCGAAGGCGGCUCACUGGACUCUUGCUGACGCUGAGGUGCGAAAGCGUGGGGAGCAAACAGG
rnacentral:rRNA from 1 species